GGGCCCGCACAAGCGGUGGAGUAUGUGGUUUAAUUCGAUGCAACGCGAAGAACCUUACCAGGGUUUGACAUCCUGCGAAUCUCUUGGAAACAGGAGAGUGCCUUCGGGAACGCAGUGACAGGUGGUGCAUGGCUGUCGUCAGCUCGUGUCGUGAGAUGUUGGGUUAAGUCCCGCAACGAGCGCAACCCACGUCUUUAGUUGCCAGCAUUUAGUUGGGCACUCUAGAGAGACUGCCGGUGACAAACCGGAGGAAGGUGAGGAUGACGUCAAGUCAGCAUGCCCCUUAUGCCCUGGGCCACACACGUGCUACAAUGGCGAAGACAAAGAGUCGCAAACCUGCGAAGGCUAGCUAAUCUCGUAAACUUCGUCUAAGUUCGGAUUGCAGGCUGCAACUCGCCUGCAUGAAGUUGGAAUCGCUAGUAAUCG
rnacentral:rRNA from 1 species